GACAUUGGCUGGAGUGGCAAGGCUGAUUAUUUUUCUUAUUGCUGUGACUAAAUCCUGACCAGAACCAGUUUUUACAAAGCAGGUUUAUUUCAACGUCGAGUGUAUGAAAGAAAGCAACCUGUCCGAGUAGGGAGAGUCGAGCUGUAGGAACCUGGAGCUGUGUUCUCUACUCAUUGGAUGCAAAGAGACAGGAACGGGCAGGAGGUUUCUAGAAGACAGUGGCUCUUGAUUCAGAAGAAAGAAGAAUGCCUUCCACCACUAAGGGCACUAUCCAACUGUCUGAGAACUGGGAAAGAGCAGAAAGACAGAGUCAAGGCCAGCUUGUUGCCUUGUCCACAGCCAAUGCACUCAUCUUUACCCUUCCCUUGGACAUGGGCACGCUCAGGGAGACCAGACUUGCAGAAUCUCAGGUUUUCAACCUCAGACUGGAGAUUGUACCACAAUCCCCUAUACAUGGACAACUUCAGAACCCAGACUGAAUUCUGUCACUCUUCACACUGUUUGCCAAUCAUGAAUUUUGUUGCCACUGCAAUCACAGGACUUCACUCUCAUACUAAUUAAUUCUUUAUCUACAUCUCUCUACUUUUAAUAUACUUUCUCUUUCCAUCUCUCCUCUGUCAUCUAUAAUUUAUCAAUUAUCCACCAGUCUGCCUAUCUACAUACACCCUUUAUUCUCUGGCGUCUCACCAAUAAAAUAGCAUAGUUGUCCUUGA